rnacentral:rRNA from 1 species
CACGUAGGGCGCAAGCGUUGUCCGGAAUUAUUGGGCGUAAAGAGCUCGUAGGCGGUCUGUUGCGUCGGCUGUGAAAACCCGGGGCUCAACUCCGGGCCUGCAGCCGAUACGGGCAGACUAGAGUUCGGCAGGGGAGACUGGAAUUCCUGGUGUAGCGGUGAAAUGCGCAGAUAUCAGGAGGAACACCGGUGGCGAAGGCGGCAUCCUGGACCAACACUGACGCUGAGGAGCGAAAGCCAGGGGAGCAAACGGG